UCCAGCAGCCAUAUCACCCUGCAACACACACCUGGCAACCCACUGAUGCUAAGCAGGUGUGAGCCUGGUAAGUACAUGGAUGAGAGACCUCCUGGGAAAAACUAAGGCUGCUGGAG
rnacentral:rRNA from 1 species